AGAAGCAGGAGAGGGUGCGAAGGCGGCGGCAAUGCCCGAACCCUGGGUAAAAUUCAAAGAAUGAGACUGGACGCUAAGCCUGUGGAGUCAAGCGGCUGCCUCAGUUCUUAUUCAUCGUGUUUAGACUCAUGUCUUGCUCAUCCUACUUGUGCUGCAAUGGGGACCUUUCUGACGAAAGUGUGGGGGUUCGUUGAAGUAUGACUGAGUGGUUCAGGGUGGUGGAGCGGGCUCAGGGGAUCUGGGCUCUUGUUCCUGGGGCCCUGGGUGAUUUGGGCCAGGCACAGACUUGCAGCCUCGCCUACCUCAGAGGGUUGUUGUUGUGCGGAGAAAAUAGAGGAGGAGACCCUCAGGCAGCAUGAGGAGGGGAUGUUGCAGGCAUCUGGACAGAAGAAGAUCUGAGCAGGGACCAUCUAGCCCAGCAUCCUGCUCGCACCGUGUCUGCCCGGCUGCCCAUGGAUAUGCCUGAGUCGAUCUCAGCCACAUUCUGCAUUUGCCCAUGAUAAAAAACCAUUGGCUUUUGUUUCAUUGCUUAA